rnacentral:rRNA from 1 species
AGAGCGAACGCUGGCGGCAGGCUUAACACAUGCAAGUCGAGCGGAUGUAGCAAUACAUCAGCGGCAGACGGGUGAGUAACACGUGGGAACGUACCUUUUGGUUCGGAACAACACAGGGAAACUUGUGCUAAUACCGGAUAAGCCCUUACGGGGAAAGAUUUAUCGCCGAAAGAUCGGCCCGCGUCUGAUUAGCUAGUUGGUGAGGUAAUGGCUCACCAAGGCGACGAUCAGUAGCUGGUCUGAGAGGAUGAUCAGCCACAUUGGGACUGAGACACGGCCCAAACUCCUACGGGAGGCAGCAGUGGGGAAUAUUGGACAAUGGGCGCAAGCCUGAUCCAGCCAUGCCGCGUGAGUGAUGAAGGCCCUAGGGUUGUAAAGCUCUUUGUGCGGGAGAUAAUGACGGUACCGCAAGAAUAAGCCCGGCUAACUUCGUGCCAGCAGCCGC